ACUUCCCGCACGGAGCGGGAAAGACGGAAAUUCCGCUGCGUGGUAACGUGACAGAGUGUUGAAGGGGUAAUGGCAAACAUGUUACUGGAAACGGACAGGAAAAAUACAAAUUUAAGAAGUACUGCCGCCUAGUCUUCGCCCCUGCGUCAACGGUGGUGCGGAUUUUCGGCCGUGAGGAGACCUCCGGGAGCUGAGAGGCCUGAAAACAGACGCCGAGGUUGUCGUUUCUGCUUGACGGAGAGCGACACAGACCGCAACACCACCCUCCCCCCACGACUCCCAUGGACGGAGUUUCAGAAGAUGGGUCCCUGGGCACAGACAGGUAGCGGAGCAAAAUUCAAUCACUGGCUCGUCUCCACUAAGAACACCUGGUGAGGGGACAAGCAUCACGCUGAGGGCCUGUGCAGACCCCUGCCAGCAUGGAGCCACAAAUCAAAGCACUAGAGGUGUUUCAUCUCUUCGCUGGAGUCUCAGUUUUUCAUCCGGGGUUAAGACUGAAAGGACGACACUUCAACUUAUGGCUUCUCACGUCUACAGCCACGAGAUCCUCUCCCAGCAUCUACGAUCCAGACGCACGAGGGAGAAACCUUGACGAGGCGCAUGAGAGGAAAACCAGCACAUUUGGGUAUGACUAAAACCUUCAAAGCAUUCUCCAUCAGCCAGAUCUUUUUUGUGAUUCAGCCUAUGACACAGAUGAGCAGCACAUGGAAAAAGAUAUUCUAUAUUUUCGGCAGCAUGUGUUAUUUGUGUUUCUCUGGACCUUGAGGUUCAUGGAGCCCCCGCAAAAUGAAGUGUGAGCUUGCAGCAGCUGCCAGACGGUGUGGUGUAUAGAAAUACUACCUCCUCUGAUGAGGUCGAGAGGAAAGACAAUUUUUUAAAAGGAGAAAGGAAAUAAGAGGAUUAGGGCUGGUAAUGUGUGUGCAGCCUCCCACUAAGACAAGUGUGCCUGGUUGCAGAAUACCUGUGGCUCUUGUACGAGCUGUUUGCAAUGGAUUCACAGACAGUUACAAGACAAAGGAGGAGCAUUUCGAUUGGUUUGUGGAAGUUGUGCUGGUGGCAUACAUGGUGUAAUCUGAAUGGAAAAAGAUACAAGAGUAGAGGGUCAUCAGCAGUUUGUAGAUGUGUGUAACAUAUAAAGUAACUAACCUUCUAAUGUUUUCCUUUUUGUUAGUGAAAUGUUCAUCCCGAAACACACAGACACUGGAAUUAGAUGAAAGAAAAACUUUUGCUGUGACCACCUAAUUUGUUGUUACUCUUGCCAAAUUACAAGUAAAUGUGGCCAAACACCUUGGCAGCAGAUGCGCUCUUAAAGCAUCCUGGUAAUGUUUUACAGGGAAAUUAAAUAACCUAAUGAAUAGCCAGCAAGUGCGAAAAAUUAUCUUAAAAAUGUUAUAGAGGAGGACUUUGUGUAGUUGGAAAUCGUUGGCCUGCGUUGUUCACCAUGUGCAAAGAAUUUACUUGCAAUCUAGUGUUUGGUGUGCUCUCCAUCCCAAAAAAAAGUGUGUAAUUCUCAAGGUUAACUCGGUCCAAAUUUUUCUGUUGAAGUAAUUAACAAACUGAAUGGAACACAUGUUUAUUUGCUUAAAAAGACAAGAGAAGCCAAAUGUAAUGGAAAAGUGCCAAAAGUGAAACUAUUCCCACAUUUACCCUAUUAUCAAAUUCAGGUAAUAAAAGGUCUGAUUGAUGAAGACAUUGGCAGAGCAGUGGAAAUCUCUCUUGCCAUAUUUACAUUUGGUGAAUCACUGCCUGCAGAGUGAGUGAUUUGGCAUUUGUGCUAUGCGCAAACAUUAAUAAGACAUAAAUAAAUAGAAUGGGGGAAAGGUGAUUAUGUAUGUCUCUGGGGAUUUCGUAGCAGGAUGGCUCCGACGAAAGGGUUCCAACAUUUUGUGCAAGCUCCUUGCCAAGCCUCUAUCAGCUUCCUAAGUCAUAUCAGAUGUUUGGGCUUUAUUGGGACUUAA